AACGAACGCUGGCGGCAUGCCUAAUACAUGCAAGUCGAACGAGACCUUCGGGUCUAGUGGCGCACGGGUGCGUAACGCGUGGGAAUCUGCCCUUGGGUUCGGAAUAACAGUUGGAAACGACUGCUAAUACCGGAUGACGACGAAAGUCCAAAGAUUUAUCGCCCAGGGAUGAGCCCGCGUAGGAUUAGCUAGUUGGUGAG
rnacentral:rRNA from 1 species